ACGGGUGAGUAAAGCGUAGGAAUCUAGCUGAUUGAGGGGGAUAGCCUAGGGAAACUUAGGGUAAUACCGCGUAAGCCCGAGAGGGGAAAGCAGGGGACCGAAAGGCCUUGCGCGAUGAGAUGAGCCUACGUCGGAUUAGCUAGUUGGUAGGGUAAAGGCCUACCAAGGCGAUGAUCCGUAGCUGGUCUGAGAGGACGACCAGCCACACUGGGACUGAGACACGGCCCAGACUCCUACGGGAGGCAGCAGUGGGGAAUAUUGGACAAUGGGCGCAAGCCUGAUCCAGCAAUGCCGCGUGUGUGAAGAAGGCCUGCGGGUUGUAAAGCACUUUCAGUGGGGAGAAAGAGGGUUGUGUUAAUAACACAACCGGAUGAUGUUACCCACAGAAGAAGCACCGGCUAACUCUGUGCCAGCAGCCGCGGUAAUACAGAGGGUGCAAGCGUUAAUCGGAAUUACUGGGCGUAAAGGGUGCGUAGGUGGUUAUGUAAGUUAGGUGUGAAAUUCCCGGGCUUAACCUGGGGACUGCGCCUAAUACUGUGUGACUAGAGUACUGUAGAGGGGAAGUGGAAUUUCCGGUGUAGCA
rnacentral:rRNA from 1 species